UAUAGUCAUACAUAUCAUGAGAUUUCAAUCCGACUCACAUCAGCUCACCUUAUGUAACCCUAAAGCCACAAACUUUUGUUAUUUUUACCAUAUGCCCACCUCCCUCUUGUGUAAAGCUCCCAGUCAAGUGGUUACACAGGCUCAACAAACUUCCCAAUAGCUUCUCAACAAUGAGAAGUCUGAGAUGGACAAAUAACAAUAUCAAGUGCAGGCAAAAUAAUUGACCCGUAUCCCAUUAGAAAUGCAGUGCUUCUCUGAAACAUGAUACAAGGGAUUAAUUUGUCUGGUUUUGUCUUAACUCUGUAAAUAAUUUACAAUCAGAUGGCAUGUAGGACUUACCAAUCAUCACAGCUACAAUUCCUAAUAGCAAUUGAAUGAUCGUCUGAUUUUUUAAACUAGAGUUAAAAGGAUGCAAUAAAUGUCCAGAGAUGGAAAUUCCAGAGUUUCAUGAUUAUUCGGGACAAUCACAGAGGUUACAACAUUAUUUUGUCAUCUAAUAAUAAGCACUGUCAUGUGGAAUCAAUAUUGGCAAAGUCAGAUCGAAGUGGCUGGCUUCCCUAGAGAGAAUAGAUACAUAGCAAAGUAGUUUAGAUACUAUAAGGAAGAUAAAUAUCAACAAACUUUCAGAAAAAGUCAGACAAGUGAAUGAAGCAUGGGUUUUUCCAUGACAAGAAUGGUUACAGGUCAAUACCAAUAUGUCCUUUUGAUAGAUAUUUUCAUUUUGGAUAGCUUAAUGUACUGAUAUGUCAGUAUUGGCUAGUGAUAUUCUCUACUUUAGGACGACAGAUGUGUGAGGACAUAAUGUGGACAACUGCACAGACUUUGUGCCAUGUCGACUAGAGCCAGGAACUUUAUAAUCCUAACUGAGAGUAGACAAGCUAUUAGAAUAUCAUUCAGUGUAGCUAUGAAACUGAAAGUGGCAACAAAUACGCCAUGAGGCACUUUCAAGAGAAUAAAACCAAACGGUAGAAAGAAAAUGCUAAAUCAACAGAAUAAUAAUGGAACAGAGGCGCAGCUGACUGUGAUUAGUCAGUGAAGGGUAAUGUAAAUAAAGGAUGCUGGAAAAGGUCGUCAAACAGUUAGCACGUUUCUAAACUUCAAAUGUAGGGACUCUCACUGGGGAGGAUUUUGUUCUCCAAACCUAGAAAACUAUGGUGAAAAUGCUCAGCUGCUAUGCUAACCGACGACCUCAGAGAAACCCAUGAUAUGCUAACUAAUAACCAGAUAAGCGCCCCCAUUUAUGGACAGUCCUCAUUGGUG
rnacentral:lncRNA from 1 species